rnacentral:lncRNA from 13 species
UUUGCAGUAUAGGUAAUGAAGGCGUGCCCUGUGUGGAUGUGACUGAGUCUGAUGUAAAGGACUGUGGGACCCCUCCCCUGGACUCAGCCAGCCUGGCUGACUGGCAAAAGAUCACUGGAUAUUACGUAGAGAAGCCCAGGAUGAUGCUUCAUGGACAGGCGGGGGAGGAGAAUGCAAUCCGGAAUGACAAGGGAGGAUCUGCAGGACCUGAAGGAAUCAGCCUGUGACCUGACAGAGAUGGAGCCAACCAACUCAUUGGUCAGUGUGGUGUUCAGUACCCCCCCUACCCAAAUGUAAAUGUUAUGUAAUUCCCAACGCUGACCCCCCAUUUCAGACUAUAAAUAUCUUUAAUUAAAAUGUAUGCGGACUUGAUAAGUAGUAGCAAUAUUAUCUUACAGUAACCCACACAAUCUGAG